GAAACCCUCUGAGCUGCUAACUCUUUCAGGGAGAAAAUCACAAGCCAUCCUCUCAAGUUCCCCUAGAAACCUGUGGAAUGCCCUCUGCCGAGCACUGCUCUGGUACCGGGGAGUGGAGUAUUAUGUCUUGGAAGAGACUCCUGCUGUGAUUGUCCAGGGGUGUUUCUCCUGAGAAAGAAAAAAACCACCUGCCCCUGACAUUCAGAAGCUGACAACACUGUUCGGUCAUGCCAUUCUCCUGUUGGACAUAAACAGUCUCUGAAUGCCAACCCCAAAGUUGCUCUCAGGCCAUGAUAAAAUAAACCACUUAAUAAUUUUGUCUAAGCACAUACAAAGAAAAUUCAAGGUCAGUUUACCACUCACAAAAUACCAAACAUCCUUCUGGUUAAAACGAGUGACAGCUGCCAUAUAUGUGUGUGUGUGUGUGUGUGUGUAUAUAUAUGUGUGUAUAUAUAUGUGUAUAUAUAUGUAUAUGCGUAUGUAUGUGUAUAUAUGUGUGUAUAUGUGUGUGUGUGUAUAUAUAUAUGCAAUUAUACCUUUAUCCCUACUCUAGUCCACCUUCCUAUAAAUAAGAUGUAUUGAGAUGCUCAAUCCUACAGUUGCCCCCAUUCUGACAGCAUCCAAUCGAGUGAAUCCUCACUUCCUUGAAAUCACCCAACCAGGGCAAAAUCCUAAAAGAGGUUCUUUGUGACACCCUCUGUCUGAGAAGUCCUAUGGUUCUCUGUGAUGAAUAGACCCAACUUGUUCAAAUACAGGCAUUUCUGGUGGGCUUUGGCUGAAGGCAUUCACACCCCCCAGUGAAUAUCUUGCACUUCUAAUUGUGUCUCAGGGCGUGCCUGGUGGAGGACCUGACUGAGACAAUUGUGACUGGAUGUGGUCUGAGAGCAGGCAGUAGGAUGAGGCUUGGGGACUGGCUCACUCACUGCCCAACUGGUAGCAAAACCCAUCUGGAGCAGCGUGUGAGGUAUGGACACUCACUCACACGAGGGGGUGGCCCAGUUGCUGAGGAUUCCACCAGUGGUACCCUGGGAAAAUAUCCCUGUGGAGGGGAAUGGGAGGAGUCAAACUGUGGAAGAUAAGAGGAGUACUGCACACAAGGACAGUAGAGUGUCAGUUCCCUGCAGAGGGAUAGUGAGGAACUGAUGAGGUGACUGUGAGUGCCCGGGGCCUCUGUCGUUAUCUUGGAGGAUCACUUUGAGGUCAGGAGUUCAUGACCAGCCUGGCCAACUUGGCGAAACCCUGUCUCUACUAAAAAUACAUUAAUUAGCGUGGUGGCGGGUGCCUGUAGUCCCAGCUACUCGGGAGGCUGAGGCAGGAGAAUCGCUUGAACCCAGGAGGCCGAGGUUGCAGUGAGCUGAGAUGGCGCCACUGCACCCCAGCUUGGGUGACAGAGCAAAACUCCGUCUCAAAAAUAAACACACAGUACUGCAUCCUGGGGGUGGAGGUGAGGUGACGGUAAAGAUCAGUGCUACCCUUGGAAAUCUGACAGAUACAGUAAGAUGGUCCCUAUCAUAGUUCCAUUUAAUUUGCCAGCCUCAUCUGCAGAAUCCAGAUGGAUCCUGGAGAAAAAUUAACCAAGUAGCCUCAAUCACAAAUGUUGGGUUGGAUAUUACAUCAGUGUUAGAGCAGUUAAGGGCUCAGGUAUGUGGUGAGCAGCCAUUGACUGGGUGAAUCCAUUUUUACCUACCCCAAUUACAAAACAGUUUGCUUUCAUGUGGAACAGAUAGUAUUCCUUUCAGUUUUGCUGCAGGAACAUGUUAACUCUUCCACCCCUGUCAUAAUACAGCCUGAAGAGAUUUACCAUCAAAUACUGUUUUUUUCUCUCUCCUAACUUAAUCCCGAAUUGGAUAAUUUCUCUUCAUCUCCACUGUCACCUGUACGCCAUCACUGUCAUCUCUAGACCGCUCUGCUGUUGAGAGAUUGAUGGAAUCAUUAUGCAAACUAAAAUAGAAUGUUUUAUCUAUCAAAUUGUAUUUCUUUGUCAAUAGUGUUAGGGCACAGCAGGUUCAUUUACUGCUGGUAAGGGUGUAAAUUGUUAGAAACUUUCUGAAUGGCAGUUUGGUAAUAACAAACAAAAAGCUUGUGUCCUUAAAUGCCUUACUUCAAUACCCGAGGCAUAUGGCCUCAAGAAAAAAUUAUGGAAGCAUGCAAAGAUUUUGUUAACAAAGAUAUAAUCAUUGCAGGGUAGAAUUUAGAAAUUUAAGACUGAAAGAUCUUUUCAGUCACCUGCAGCAAGAAAGGAGUCAAAACCGAUGUACGAUCUCAACUAGUAAAAUUUUCUCCUUGCCCAGGGAUCAUGCUGAGUUUAAGGACAGAAAUGCAAAGUGCAGCCUGGGAAAGUGUUUCAACACACAAAAAUAGAACCACCUGUAUGUAGUCUUUUUGAAAGCACAAAAUAAAGAGCAGUCCUACAGUGUUCACUGCUAUGUCCUGAAUGUUGAUGUCCCUUCCAAAAUUCAUAUGUUGGAACCUAAUGUCAAUGUAAUAGUAUUAAGAGGUGGGGCUUUUGGGAAGCAAUGGAGUCAUGAGGGCUUCACCCUCAUGAGUAGGGUAAGUACCCUUACAAAAGAGGCUCAGGGAGGCGCUCUUGCCUCUUCCACCAUGUAAGGACACGUAGCAGGCACCCAUCUCUGAAGAAUGGGCCCUCCCCAGACUCCAGAUCUGCUGGUGCCUUGAUCUUGGACUUAGCCUCUAGGACUGUGAGUGACAUAUUUCUAUUGUUUAUAAAUUAUCCAGUAUAAGUAAGAUAUUUUGUUAGAGCAGCCUGAACGAACUAAGACACUCUAAGCGGGAAACUCACAAAAAAUAUUUGGUAAUGAAAAACAAUAUGCUGUGUUAACGUAUGGUGACAAGUGUUUGCAUUUAAAAAUGUAUUGGAGCCUCGUUUUGAUUAGGCAGUAAAUUUACCUUAAUACGUAAGUUUGACAGUUAUAAUAUGUAAUCAGCUUUUUUUUUUUUGAAGAUGGUGUGAUUGAGGUUAAUGUGAACUGAACUUUCUAUUUCUAAGCUGUCUUCAUCUAAUGUUACCUUUCUGUGGAAAAUCAAUACAAGUCAACCAUUUUUAUUGCCCAGUUGUUCAAAGUUUUAUUCAAAGAGCAAAGAUUUGACAAUGCAUAGAAUUAACAUUGGUUUGUGGGCCACCUUCUGGGCCAGCACCAAAGACUGAAAAAAUAUUUUGCCCCCUAAAAGUUGUAUUGAGUCUUGUCAAAUCACAUUGCUCUGUCAGAAGGUAAGACAAAUCAGUGUGGACUGAGAGCAAGGUCAGCACCAUGAACAGCCAUUCCGGUUCCUUUAAUCCACUGGGAAUUCAUGCAGUGAAGAAGCAACACACCAUGAGGCAAAUGGCUCAAACCCAAAGACCAGAGGUUCAGGAGAUUUUUUUUUUUUUUUUUUUAAUCUGUAGAGAUGGGAUCUCAGUAUCUUGCCCAGGCUGGUCUCGAACUCUUGGGCUCAUGCUGUCCUACCUCAGACUUCCUAGUAGCUGGGUUUUCUUUGGGCUAAUUAUUUUUUUGUAGAGAUGGAGGUCUCGCUGUGUUGCCCAGGCUGGUCUCAAAUUCCUGGCCUCAAGCUCUCCUCCCAUCUCAGCCUCCCAAAGUGUUGGGAUUACAGGCAUGAGCCAUGUGCCCAGUCUAGAAGAUCUUUGACUUCAAAGAACAGAUAAUCUAGAGACCUUCACAAAUGAUCAUGUUGGCACUAUGGUCAUUACACUGAGACCUAUAUAGGAUUGGUUAUUUACAGAAAAACCUUGUGGUAC
rnacentral:lncRNA from 1 species